AGUGCCUAAGAAAGACGGGGAGGAUUGGCACCCGGCCCCGCCCCCCCAGGUGGCCGCGUGCACGGAAAGUCAAACAGGUCGAGGUACUGGAGGCACCAGGUGAACGUAGCUACUGGUUUCCGGCGUGUGGGUUCACCUGCAAUCAAGGGCGAGGAGUGGGGCGCGCCUGUCUUGUGGGGGAUGUUGUUUUUAGGUCAAGACAGCUGGCAGUGAACUGUCAUGCUUCCCUACUGUAAUCUGGGAGCGUAUUCUCAAACACAUCGGCAUUUUAACAUUUUCCAACAGGCUCUGAUGGAAAUCACUGAGGUUUCCGCGAUUCUAAUGAUAGUUUAACGGGUAUUCUGCAUCAUUUGUAGUAAAAACACACAUGAGAACCUGAAUAAUCAUCUGCGGCCUUUGAGAACAGUCAGUAUGAGAGCACAAGAGCGUUAGUAAAUAAAAUGGGCCUGAGCUGCCGCCUUCAUGUCGCGUGACGGUCCUGUUAUGGUACGUGGCUUCCUAAUGCCGCUUUACAGCAUGAAUGAUAAGAUAUGAUAAAGAACAGAAGCAAGAUUGGGCAGUGGGCAGCGUCACACCCCUGUCACGUCACACCAGCGUGUUGGGAAACCUUCGCAUUAGAGCUCCACUUCACACGAGUCUUGAGAAGCGCAGCACAUAUUGCGGGGCCUCACCGCAGACUUUUACACACCUGAAUGACUGAAACAAUCUGUGGUGUCGCAAUGCCCAGCGGUGGCAGGUGCGAGUGAGUCCCGUCCUCUAAUGCCAGCCUGAAGAAAGACCAGAGUAGGUCACGCUGAUAACCUACAUAAUUAUGCCGCAGGAACGAACGGGAAACUGCAAGAAGCCAUCAGGGCUACAAGUGGUAAUCACUGUGUAAAACAUGCCCGCCUACUCGACCUAUCACUUACUGAUAAUUUUCUCUAAUCUUUUUUUAAGCUUCCUUUUGACUCGGCUCUAAUAACCUGAUUAGUGAGUCUGUUCCUGUUAAUCCUUUACUGUAUUUUUGAAGUCGUUUCUUUUUUUAAUUUCACUUUACCAUUACGUCAUGUCCCGUCCUGACUCUAUAGAUCUUAUAGUCAUCUCUUUAGGUCUGCAUAUCAACACAUGAUCCUCAUUCUGGAGGCAGAUUAAUAAAACAUGGUUCUCGAGACCACAAAAAAAAAAAAAAAAAAAAAAAAUCAUUAACCUAAUAAACGAAAUCUGUACGAAACAAGACAAGGGUGAGGACACGAACAACUCACCUUACUAAGCUUGCUAAAUAGACAUGAUCCUUCGCACAGCAGAUGAAAAAGAGACAGUUCCUCAGACCACAAAAUAUCAUAUAGCUAAUAAAUGUGAUAUAUAAGCAGCAAAACAAGGCCAAGAACAUAAAUGGCUCACCGCACCAAGCCUGCUAAAUAGACAUGGUCCUUCACACGGCAGAUGAAUACACACGAUA